UCUGGUUAUCCUCCUCUGUUUCCAUCACAUCCGCUGACAUACCUUCAUGAACUGAUCUCCUCCGACCUGCAUCAAAAGACCUUCUAGGGUCCCUUGAUGUACUUUCCCUGAUCGUCCUACAAGAUCUUGCCCUCUGCAGAGCAGGGGAAUGGGCAUCCAUGCCCUCAUUCUCUGGCGGAGCUCCAGUCAAUCUCGCAGAUCGACGAGUUCCUCUCAUCUUGACUUCUGAGAGCAUAACAUAGCACAUAAACAUAAGCAUCAUACGGUUCAUGUGGAAACACAUGAACCUGCAUCACAUACAUAAC
rnacentral:lncRNA from 1 species